rfam:Gossypium hirsutum cultivar TM-1 chromosome 24, whole genome shotgun sequence
CUGUCCUCUUGAGUUCCCCUGAUCACUUCACUGGGGUUAUGGGGUCUGCUCUUCUCAGAGCCUUGUUAAAGGGGAGGUCCCUGAUGACCUACUGAAGUGUUUGGGGGAACUCUGGCUGGCAC